rnacentral:rRNA from 1 species
AGAGUUUGAUCCUGGCUCAGAUUGAACGCUGGCGGAACGCUUUACACAUGCAAGUCGAACGGUAACGUGGGGAGGAGCUUGCUCCACCCUGACGACGAGUGGCGAACGGGUGAGUAAUACAUCGGAACGUGUCCGCUCGUGGGGGACAACCAGCCGAAAGGUUGGCUAAUACCGCAUGAGUUCUACGGAAGAAAGAGGGGGACCCGCAAGGGCCUCUCGCGAGCGGAGCGGCCGAUGACUGAUUAGCCGGUUGGUGAGGUAACGGCUCACCAAAGCAACGAUCAGUAGCUGGUCUGAGAGGACGACCAGCCACACUGGGACUGAGACACGGCCCAGACUCCUACGGGAGGCAGCAGUGGGGAAUUUUGGACAAUGGGCGCAAGCCUGAUCCAGCUAUUCCGCGUGUGGGAUGAAGGCCCUCGGGUUGUAAACCACUUUUGUAGAGAACGAAAAGACACCUUUUAAUAAAGGGUGUUGCUGACGGUACUCUAAGAAUAAGCACCGGCUAACUACGUGCCAGCAGCCGCGGUAAUACGUAGGGUGCGAGCGUUAUCCGGAUUUAUUGGGCGUAAAGGGCUCGUAGGCGGUUCGUCGCGUCCGGUGUGAAAGUCCAUCGCCUAACGGUGGAUCUGCGCCGGGUACGGGCGGGCUGGAGUGCGGUAGGGGAGACUGGAAUUCCCGGUGUAACGGUGGAAUGUGUAGAUAUCGGGAAGAACACCAAUGGCGAAGGCAGGUCUCUGGGCCGUCACUGACGCUGAGGAGCGAAAGCGUGGGGAGCGAACAGGAUUAGAUACCCUGGUAGUCCACGCCGUAAACGGUGGAUGCUGGAUGUGGGGCCCUUUCCACGGGUCCCGUGUCGGAGCCAACGCGUUAAGCAUCCCGCCUGGGGAGUACGGCCGCAAGGCUAAAACUCAAAGAAAUUGACGGGGGCCCGCACAAGCGGCGGAGCAUGCGGAUUAAUUCGAUGCAACGCGAAGAACCUUACCUGGGCUUGACAUGUGCCGGAUCGCCGUGGAGACACGGUUUCCCUUCGGGGCCGGUUCACAGGUGGUGCAUGGUCGUCGUCAGCUCGUGUCGUGAGAUGUUGGGUUAAGUCCCGCAACGAGCGCAACCCUCGCCGCAUGUUGCCAGCGGGUGAUGCCGGGAACUCAUGUGGGACCGCCGGGGUCAACUCGGAGGAAGGUGGGGAUGACGUCAGAUCAUCAUGCCCCUUACGUCCAGGGCUUCACGCAUGCUACAAUGGCCGGUACAACGCGGUGCGACACGGUGACGUGGGGCGGAUCGCUGAAAACCGGUCUCAGUUCGGAUCGCAGUCUGCAACUCGACUGCGUGAAGGCGGAGUCGCUAGUAAUCGCGGAUCAGCAACGCCGCGGUGAAUGCGUUCCCGGGCCUUGUACACACCGCCCGUCAAGUCAUGAAAGUGGGUAGCACCCGAAGCCGGUGGCCCGACCCUUGUGGGGGGAGCCGUCUAAGGUGAGACUCGUGAUUGGGACUAAGUCGUAACAAGGUAGCCGUACCGGAAGGUGCGGCUG